rnacentral:rRNA from 1 species
UACGGGGGGGGCAAGCGUUGUUCGGAAUUACUGGGCGUAAAGGCUCGUAGGUGGCCAACUAAGUCAGACGUGAAAUCCCUCGGCUUAACCGGGGAACUGCGUCUGAUACUGGAUGGCUUGAGGUUGGGAGAGGGAUGCGGAAUUCCAGGUGUAGCGGUGAAAUGCGUAGAUAUCUGGAGGAACACCGGUGGCGAAGGCGGCAUCCUGGACCACGACUGACGCUGAGUGAGCGAAGCCAGGGAGCAAACGGG